rnacentral:lncRNA from 1 species
CCCUGAAACGCUGCUACGAUACAGGGUAUUAACUCAAUCGCUGCUACGAUUUAAUGUCCGAUCGAUUGAAACUAUCCGAUGAAUGUUUAAGUGCUACUCAAAUUGGGUUUAUACUUUGUCAUUAGUCGUGAUUUCGACUUGAAUGUUUGAGUACCACCCAAACUCGGAGUGUACUCUGUCAUUCGUUGCGAAUCCGAUGGAUGUUUAAGUAUUGCACUUUGUCAUUCGUUGUGAGGGUAUUAAUCUCGUGAGUUAUCGUAAAUGUUGUAUUAGUUAAUUACCUAGUUUUGUGUGCAUUAUUAUUUAAAUUAGGUUAUCAGGCUUAUCAAUAGACUAAACUCUACCCCAUACACUUACAAUCAAAGUAGAUGCUAAUUCUCAGAAGAAUCUGAAUCAUGAAGCUUGUUAAUUCAAUACUGCAUGCUUAUAAUGUAAUUACAGUAGAUUGGAGUAAGAAUUGGAUCUGGCACUGAAGGACUUCAAGAAGUGGCUUAUUUUAUUAAUUAAAUCAAAUCAAGAAAUAUUGUUUUAUAUAAUCAAAUUUAUAUUAAAGCUAUCAUUGUAAAACAUGGGUUUUAUCCCAUCUAUUUAAUAAAUAAAAUCCGGUGUUUUUAA